AGUGCUUCUCUCAUCAAUCAUCUGUGCACAUAAUCUAAGGUCACCCACCAGUCGGAACCCCUCUAAUGGUCUGUACGACUGGCAUGUCGGAACCAUCUCUAGUGGUCUGUACGACAUCCAGGUACUUGGAUCCAAGGCGAGCGUGCGGUGUGGUGAAUAAUAUAAGCACUAACACCAAGGGUGCAGGUUAUGAGCUUCCAAUGCAAUUCACAUAAAAUAAAUCGUCUGAAUGAUGUAAAGACUCACAUGUGCGUCCACCGCGUCAAUUCACAUAUAUAUGCAUCAAUUAUCAAUUUAAAUAUCUCAACAAUUGCAUGCAUGGCAAUUUAAAUCAUAUUUUCAUAUAAACGCAUUUUCUGGGAAAACAGUAGUAUAUAGGUAAUACGAAAACAAAACUGCCCACUCACUGAUAAGUCGAUGGGUCGUAACCCCCGUGACGUCCCUGGAUGCACUCGUCCUCGGGAUAGGUGUCACCGGAAAAAUUCCAAGCAAAACCGGCCAAAAUCGAACCUAGUGAUCUCGACGUCCAAAACCUUCAAACGCAGCACUCCGAGCUUCCUUGGGACCUCACUAAGCUCACUAUGAGCUUGAAAUUCCCUUGUUUGCUUCGAUCCAUGGAGUUUUGGAUGGUUUUGGUGAGGUCCGUACAAUCGGGGUGAGAGAGAGAGCAGGGAAUCGUGAGGGAGGAGAGAGAGAGUUACGGGAAAGAGGGAGAGGACAGGGAGUGUGAGGUGUCCAACACCAAUCCUCACCAUCCAUUUCAUCUAAUUCCCUAACCACAAAAUUAACAAAAGCCAAAAUUUUAAUCCAAAACUUAUAAUAAGUUAAACCAAAUAACGUCACACACACAUACCUUAAUACCCGCUAAGGGUAAAUCCGUCAUUUCACGCUCCCGAUAUAAAAUUUUCGGGACGAGCUGUGACAAAAUGCACAUACUUUUUUACUUUUUUUAAUAACGUAUAUUUAUCAUACAAAUUUUAUAACUGAAACCGUUUAACUUCUCUUUGAAUAACGUAUUACCAUACAUUUUUAUAAUAAGAACUAUUUAAAUUCUUAAUCUUUAUUUGAAGACCUAUUCUCACAAAAACAAAAAAACAAAAAAAACUCAUUUGAAUUGAAGAUAUUUAAUCAUUCAAACGUAUAGAAAUCAAUGAUAUAAGCACCAAAUAACAUAUUCAUGAUGAACUGUCCAUUUGUUUUAUACAUUUAGAUAACCAAAUAACCUUCAAUGUGAAUAAUAUUUUUAUGAAUGAUCUUCAAAUAGAAGUUAAGAAAUUUAAAGAUUUUAAUUUUGAAGUUCAUAUGAAAAAAUACCUUAUUCACAAAAUAUGAAAUAUGCGCAUUCUCCAACGAGGAACGCAAUUAUUAUUCAAAAUUUUAUUAUGUUUUCAUGUAUGAUAUACACAAACCCAGAUCCUCUCCAAAUCUUAAAAAACUGAGCCUAAGGAUCAAAUGAUUUGGACCGUUGAAAUUUGAUCCAACGGCUAUAAUUAUUAUAAUUUUUAGAGGAGCCCUCUGUGUCACAUUGAAGGAAUAUUUUGAGAAAACAUUUUCAUUUAAGCAACAUCUAUAAGCAUGCAAUUAACAAUUAAAGGCGGAAUCAUGCUAGCAUGCACUUAAAAACAAAACAUUAACCAUGAAAUUCAAAGCCUAGUAGAUUGGUGAACCAAGAAUCAACUCAAAACAUAGUGAGUUGAAAUUUAUACCUUUGUAGAUUCCUCUUUGUAUUUAAACAAAGGCUAAUCACCCAAGAGAUAGGGCCUUCAUUCCUUGCAUCUUAGAUCCAUGGAUUUGGAUGGAUCUACACCAAGGAGAGCAUGGAUGAUAAAUGAGUGACCAUGGAAGAAUAGAUGGCUAGCUACAACUUCCAUGGUGGCCGGCCUUUCUAGAGAGAAAUGGAGAGACAAUUCUCACAAUUUUCCCCAAAACAAACCCUUAAUGAAUAAAAGGCUAUAAAGUCAUAUUUAUACCUUUAUUCAUUUGAGUGGCAAACUUGUAAUUAAAGCAAGUUCACUACCCUUUCUCUAUAUGGCCGGCCAUGGGGGGUUGUUUGGGCUUUUGGGUCUUAGUGAAUCAUUAUUCAUUAAGUUGUCAUACAACUUAAGUCAAUGGGCUUGACGUUCGAAGCCCAUUGGGCCUUAAGGUCCAAAACCUAUCCCGAGGUCUUUAACGAACUUAUUCGUUUGAUUAAUUAACAUAUUAAUUAAUCCUUGCCAUAAAUAAUUAAACUAUUCAAUUGUUCUUACUCAUUUAGUUUGUUUCAUCCAUCUCCACCUUAUAUGGUGUACGAUCCAUUAGGUUCCUUUUAGCGAGGCAGUGGGCGAUCAAAACUCUUUCAAAUCGAUUAUGAAUUGAAACUUACUUUCAAUUCUCCCUUUAGUGAUAAUACACUUUUAGGGCUUCCACAAACCAUGAGUGACACCUAGCCGUAUGUCAUGGUUACCUAAGCUAAUCAGAAGAGGUUAAGAACCUAUUCAGUUUAGGAUUACAAAUGCAAUACGGUCUUUCUCUAAUCUAAUACUCCUGACCACAUUGUUUGGUUUGAUAGUUUAUUUAUUCAUGUCUACUAUCCAAUGUGAUUCGUGUUCUUAUAUGAUUUCCUUGAAUGUGAUUUAGAACGACUUUUCUAAAUCUCAUUCAUACUCUGGCCAGAGAUUCUAAAUCAUAUCAUAGAGUAUUCUCCCUCAAACGAUUUGAAGGUUAGAGAUCCCUUGUUGCGCAUUCACUUGCCUCCAUGACUAAGUGGCUUAACCCCAACGAUGCCGUGGACACCCCGAUGGGGUGACAUUGACAUAAUCAAAGAUCAAGGACUUAACCACAAGACAACUGUGAUGCCUCAGGUCAAAGGACUAAUUUGCAUUAUCCCAAACAUGAGUUCUCAUGUGACAUGAGUAUGAGAACUCUUCGUUGAUCGCGUUCAGUGAACUCAUUCUCUACUGAGCACCUACGUACUUGUCUUGAUGUCACACACACCAAUGACUCGAGACUAGUCACUUUCCCUGAGAGAAGACAUAGCACGUACCGAUCUUGACGGACUGUCAAUGCCCAAUUGGCAAUCUUAUGAUCAAGAACAUUUAGGAUGUGUCUACGAAAGAAUGGUCUCAUGAAUCUAACUUCAUUAGAUUACAUUCUUCCAAUCACAUAUUCCUUGGACUUUAUCGUUUAAGCAUAUAACAUUUAUAUGAGACGGCUCAAACAAUAAUCUUUGCCCUUUAUAUUAAACUAGAUUAGUUUAACAUGUGAAAUGUCCGUAAAGUAUCAUCAUAUGAUUGGUUUUAGGGCACAUUUCCAACACACAUCCCGGCCCGGGCCCCCACCACAUCCCGGGCUUAACUCCGUCGUAGCACGAUAUUGUCUGCUUUUGGCCCCUACACGACCUCACUGCUUUGUUUUUGGGAAUUCACACGAGAACUUCCCAGUGGGUCACUCAUCCUGGGAUUGAUCUCGCACGAACUCACUUAACUUCGGAGUUCCAAUGGAACCAGAAGCCAAUGAACUCCCAAAAGGCCUCAUGCUAGGUAGAGAUGGGAAUAUAUAUAUAAGGCUUACAGGAUCCUUACCUCUAGGCUAUGUGGGAUGUGACAAUUAUCAUUGUGACAACCCGUCCCUGAAAUUACGUUUUUAUUUAUUUUAAUCGAGGGAAUUGACGAAAAUGCCUCUAGAGGUAAGGACUUUGACUUCCGUUGACCAUCAUCUAGAGAAACGUAUGAAUUAUUCUUUUAGCGUAUUUGAGUAGUACUCGUUAGUACGAACACAUAGGUGAAAGCCGUUUGCGAGUCCGGAUUAUAUUGGUAUAGUUACGGACGUUUGAAAUUAGUAAUUUAAUGUUUAGAUAUAAAUUGAUUAAAAACUUCUCACCAUGUGGGAAGGGUAACCAAUCAGAAGUGAGGGAAGGUGGUACGGGGAAGGAAGCACCCAUCUGAUGGGAGGCGGACGAACCAGAGAAGGAGGAGGUGAGUGGACCAAUGGGAGGAAGAGAAGGGAAGAAAGGAGAGAAGAGUGAGAGGCACGGGAUCAUGAACCCUUCCCUUU
rnacentral:lncRNA from 1 species